CAUACGGCUCAGUAACACGUAGUCAACCUGCCCUGGAGACGCGGACAAUCGCGGGAAACUGCGGCUAAUACGCGAUAGAUGACCUCCUCUGGAAGGAGAGGUCGUCCAAAGGGCUGCACAGGUAUGCUCUGUGCAUUCGCUCCAGGAUGGGACUGCGGCCGAUCAGGCUGUUGGCGGGGUAAUGGCCCACCAAACCUGUAACCGGUACGGGCUUUGAGAGAAGGAGCCCGGAGAUGGACACUGAGACAAGGGUCCAGGCCCUACGGGGCGCAUCAGGCGCGAAAACUUCGCAAUGCGCGAAAGCGUGACGAGGCUAGUCCGAGUGCUUCCCGCUGAGGGGAGCUUUUCUUUGCUGUAAAUAGGCAGGGGAAUAAGGGGAGGGCAAGUCUGGUGUCAGCCGCCGCGGUAAUACCAGCUCCUCGAGUGGUCGGGACGAUUAUUGGGCCUAAAGCACCCGUAGCCGGUUCGGUGAGUCCUCUGUCAAAUCCAACCGCUCAACGGUUGGCUCGCAGAGGAUACUGCCGGACUAGGAGGCGGGAGAGGCGGACGGUACUCCGCGUGUAGGGGUAAAAUCCUUUGAUCCGCGGAAGACCACCAGUGGCGAAGGCGGUCCGCCAGAACGCGCUCGACGGUGAGGGGUGAAAGCUGGGGGAGCGAACC
rnacentral:rRNA from 1 species